rnacentral:rRNA from 1 species
GCAGCAGGCGGNANACCUUUACACUACGCGAAAGCGUGAUAAGGGGAUCCUAAGUGCUUACCUUAUGGUAGGCUUUUGCCGAGUGCAAAUAGCUCGGAGAAUAAGUGGUGGGCAAGACCGGUGCCAGCCGCCGCGGUAACACCGGCGCCACGAGUGGGGGUCAUAUUUAUUGGGCCUAAAGCGUUCGUAGCCGAAUCUGCAAAUCUCUUGUGAAAUCGCCAUGCUCAACAUGACGGAUGGCAAGAGCGACUACAGAUUUAGAGAUCGGGAGGAGGCGGGGGUAUUCCUUGGGGAGCGGUAAAAUGUUUUAAUCCUUGGAAGACCACCUGUGGCGAAGGCGUCCGCCUAGAACGAAUCUGACGGUGAGGAACGAAAGCUGGGGGAGCGAUCCGGAUUAGAUACCCGAGUAGUCCCAGCUGUAAACACUGCGAACUAUGUGUCACAAAAACUUCGUGUUUUUGUGGUGCCGUAGCGAAGGCGUUAAGUUCGCCGCCUGGGAAGUAUAGUCGCAAGAUCGAAACUUAAAGGAAUUGGCGGGGGAGCAC